AAAAAUAUCUAAAGUAUUUAAUUAAUUAAGAAGUUCUUGGUUUCUACAUUUUUUUUGUUUAGUUCAUGCUGUCGUAGAAUAGAUAGCUCACUCCUCAAAUGUUCUCUAGCUAAAUGACUUUUAAUUGACACAAGGCUAAUAAGAAAGUAGAUUUACUAGCUUGUGAUACAACAUAGUGCCUACAAGUCAACUAGCAAUGAUCCUCAUCUAGCUCACUUUGUGCCUACACUCAACCAAAUAUUAUCUUAACAACAAUCACAUACUCAAGCAUCUUUGACCGAGCUUUCCAUAUUCAUUAGAUCUAUCAAAAAUAGUAAUGACAACAUUUUCAAAGAUACUCACCUCAUCACCAUCAUCAUUGUCGUCAUCAUCUUUUACCUCUGGUCCCAUUCCUUCGGCCACUCCAUUCCUUCCACUGAAAUCUUUACGAUCCUCAAACUCCACUGCUUCACUGAACUCAUUCUGCCCAUCAUCACUAUCGUCUUCUUGAAUACCAAGCCUUCCCUCAAAUUUCUCCUGUAAUUUACUCACUCCAUCAUCUGCUGACAAGUAACCAAUGUCACUUCCUGUUUGGGCCAGCCAUAGCCUCAUAUUGAUCCGCCCAAAAGAAUUCCAGUACUGUUGUAAACCCUAACCAGUAACUAUAAAAUGUUGUGACCUGCAUUAUUAAUUACUUUUGAAUACAAUCAUGAUUCCUAUCCAAUCCAAUCAUAAAUUUUCAAUUUCAUAAAGGAAAAGAUGGAAUUAUAACAGAGAGACAAUCAAUCUACAUGUAAGAAAUUAGGAGCACCAUAACACAACAAAAUCAGAAUAAUUUUCCAUUAAUCUUGACAUGAAUCUCAUCUAAACUAACCCACAAAUUUAAAGGAUAACUCAAUAAAAAUAGAAUGUCAAAUGCUAAAGUAUCUUAACAUUCAAACUAAUUGUCACAGAGGAUACAGGUUCUUCACUAAAUAUUGGACCAUUACUAGAGAUAUCGAGUUAUCAUUAACCAACAUAAUUUGCAAUUAACUAGUACAAACUGACUCUCCAGCUAGAUACACACUAGUAAGAACUUAUUUUGACAACAUACUUCAUUAUCAUCUCGAAUAACAUCACAAAAAGAUCAAAAAACAAGUAAGAUUAGCACAUUUAUGGGCAUCCAAAUCAUUUCCUGCCCACAACAGGUAAUAAUCCAUCUAAAUUCUUACACAUAUAGAUUAGGGUUAAUCGGCCACAAAUACGAAGAUCCAGCAGCUUAAAAAAGGGGCAAUUGAACUGGCAGCAAUAAUUCAAGGGUUUCCCAUCAAAAUCAAGAUUUCGAACCAUUUCUUCAAUAAAUGAUCUAAUUACCAAUUGAUUCAUUAAUUCAGAAAGGAAGAGUUGAUAUCCACAUACCCUUUUGAGUGAAGUCUUGUUGGAGAGCAGGGAUGGAGCUCGAGUGAAGAAAUGGAAGGGAAAGAGGAAAAAUCGAAUCUUUAUAUUAGUAUGGAGGGAAGCGGUGAAGGCGGCGGGGAUUCAUAGCGGCUGCUCAUCGGAGUCGAGAGGGAGACGGUGAUAGAGGCUUGAGAGAUGAGGGAGGAUGACGGCGGUCCGGCUGACCGUUGCUGUCGACUGAAGAAGAAGAUGGUGGUUCAGGCGGUAAUCUCGUCGGAAAUUGAAAGGGGAGAAAGCUAGGGAUUUUUGGGGAUUUUUCAUGAUUUAGAGAGGGAACGAGAGGCAGGCAGAUGCGAGGCCUACAGAGGGGAUACCGUGGCAGUGGUGGCUGGCGGCGACAGUAGCCGCCGGGUUUGAAGGGAGUAAGGCAGUGGCAGAGAGAAGAAGAAGAUAGGAGUACCGCGAGAGAGAGAGAGAGUGGUGGGUGAGACUUCAAACUUAGGAGAAGAAGGUGAAUUAUGUAAUUAGGGUUUUUAUUUUUUAUAAUAUUAUUAAAGUUAAAAUUAAAAAUAAAUAUAAAAAGUAAUCAUAACAGUAUUUUAGCGCUCAUACAUAACGGUUAAAACAACCAUUAUAAAAAUACGCUCAUAGAUAACGGUUAUCUUAACGGUUCGAUAACACCGUUAUGUAUGCACCUAAUAGAUAACGCUUAUUCAUAACGAAUUACUUCGUACCGUUAUC
rnacentral:lncRNA from 1 species